rnacentral:lncRNA from 1 species
GAGCUCGGAUGAAAUCCGAAAGGUGGUCGACCAUCGUAGAAUCUUGGACAGAGUUUGGUUACUGUAGAAAAUCAGCUGAUAGCGAAGCUCAAAAAGCGUUUGGAGCAGCCCGAUAGAUGAAUGAAGGAGCUCAUUAUCAGAGAAGUCCGGAUGGUAUUAUGGAAGCUCGGACGAUCGAGGGAGUUCAGAAAGACGCCACACAAGGUCGAAAGCCGGAAGAGCCCUAGAAGGGUCGGCCUUUUACGAACUUCGACUGGGGGUAUUUUAUACCCAACAAGGUCAAUUAUUCUCUUUUCAGAUUUAGGUAGAAUAUU